GUGCUCACUUGGGCAGCACAUAUACUAAAACUGGAAUAAUACAAGAUUAACAUGGUCCCUGAACAAGGAUGGCACACAAAUUCAUGAAGCGUUCUGUAUUUUU